rnacentral:lncRNA from 12 species
CCCCCCGGGGCCCCACCACUACCGCAGGCCUCAGCGGCCGCCAUCAACCACCACAUCAACCUGGAGCCCGCGCCUUGUCCAUGUCUUCUUACUUUGACCGUGACGUUGUGUCUUUGAAGAACUUUGCCAAGUAUUUUCUUCCCCAACCUCAAGAGGCGAGGGAACAUGCUAAGAAACUACGAAGCUGCAGAACCCACGAGGGGGUCGAAUCCUCCCUCAGGAUAUUAAGAACCAGACGGUGACGAUGGGCAGAACGGGCUGAAUGCACCACAGUGUGCGUUACACUCGGAGAACGGCGUGAAUCAGACACGACCGGAACUGCACAAACUGGCCACUGGAGAAAAUGAUCCCACUUGUGUGACUUCAUGGAGACUCAUUACCCGAACGAGCAGGCGACAUCCAUCAGAGAACGGGUGAGCACGUCACCGAACCUGGCGCGUCAGAGCCUCUCGCUGACAGGCACGCCCUGGGAACCGCCGGUAGCGAGGCUGCCUUCCCACAGCCGAGGGGUGACGUCCCCGGUCACCGAGGCAGCGCAUGCGUGUUGGGGUUACCUUCACCUUUUCUAG